rnacentral:rRNA from 1 species
UGCGUAGGUGGUCGUUUAAGUCCGUUGUGAAAUCCCUGGGCUCAACCUGGGAAUGGCAGUGGAUACUGGACGGCUAGAAUGCGGUAGAGGGUAGUGGAAUUCCCGGUGUAGCAGUGAAAUGUGUAGAGAUCGGGAGGAACACCAGUGGCGAAGGCGGCUACCUGGACCAGCAUUGACACUCAAGCACGAAAGCGUGGGGAGCAAACA